UUGGAGAAGGAUGAACAUUGGAGCAAGAACACGCAUUCGUUUAGACUUUGGGUUUUGUUUAGAUUAAAAGUUCGCCAUAGCUGCAACUUCAUGCGUGUUCUUGCUCCAAUGUUCAUCCUUCUCCAA
rnacentral:pre_miRNA from 9 species